GUGAGGACGCGCGCCGGCGGUUGGGGCGGGGGCGGGGGCCGGGGCGCUCCUGUGGGAAGGGAGGGGUGAAAGGUCGCUGGUCCCCGGCAACACGGCUCAGGCAAACGUAAGCGGCUUGUCGCAGAAACCAAGGGGUCCACGAAACGCGCUAGGCUAGAAGGCGGGAAGGAGAGAUUACUGACAGCCGUGCCAGCCAAUAAAAUAGAAAUGUGAGAAAGGUUCUUCGGGCCCCUUCCCAAUCAGGAAACUUGGGUGAUGAGGGGCAGCGAAGGGGUGGGGUGGGAUCUUGGUCCAGCUGGUACUGGAGCGGCGACAAUUUUGGCUAGUCUAAGAAGGGCAUUCGAGUGACCGUUGACAACGGGUGGGACAGCGUCAGAGCUGGAGGGAGAGCCAGCACUGUAUGCUUCCAGGACUUCUUGCUAGGUGCAUUAGUUUUUAUUUUUAAGAGUUGGGUAAAAGACAUUAAUUAGUUAGCAUCUCACUCAUCGGCGAUUUUCUACGGUAUGAUUUCAUCCAAAGAGGAUUUCUUAAUCGCACUGUGUGACACCGUUAGGGGACUUAGAGUGUCACUCGCCGCCUUAAAUCCUUUCGGGAACAAGCCAGGAUAUAAAUAAAUAAAGCUAGGUGUGGGUCUUCCCUUCACAAGGCGCUGGUAGGCAGACUAAAGACAGGCAACAGCUGAGUGUGCACACAGAACUAAAUAUUGAACGAAAUACGAGUGUCGGAAUAAAAUUCAUUGCCAUGUGCACGGCUUAUGAUUAUACAGAUCUUGGACAUAUCACGGACCUGAACGUCAACCCUGCAACACCGGAUAAAACAUCUAAUGUAGCUGGAAUAGACUCUGAAAGGACGUUAGGCAUUAUCUAAAUCAAGUCCCUCAUUUUACAGAUGAGUAAACUGACUCAGUGAAGUAUUUUGCUCAAGGUCGUUCAUCAAAUUAGUAGUUUAAUUAACUCAGUGUUCUAGGAAGCAGGGUAGUAGAAAAGCAUGGGAUUCGGAGUCUGAAAUCUUCCUUGGUUUCUGGUCCUUGUAGGCUGUUUUACAAGUGUAUCUUGGGCAAAUCCCUUAACGUCUUGCCAUUUAUUAAGGGCUUACUUACCACGUGGCAAACAAUCCACUUUGCAUGCUGUGUCAAUUACAUGCAGUAUGUCGUGUAGUUAUUACUGUCCCCAUUUUAUGAGGUAGUUUAGGUUUAAAGAUAUUAGAAAUUUACCCAAAGUUACGCAGUUAUAAACAUUGUAGUAAUUUCAAACUCAGGUCUUCGUGACUGCAAAGGCUGCUGUCUUAAGUAUUGUAAUACAUUAGAGCUCCGGAUUCCCUCCCACUCAAAACAGAGACUGAGACUCCAACCAAUUUCCACCAUUAUUGGGAGUCAAACGAGAGAGACUGUGGCAAUGUAUUCUAAGCUGUACAAAGGUAUAAACAUAUUCACUAGAUUUGUAGAAUGAAGUUAUUCCUUCCCUAUACUUUCCACUACAACAAUUCAGCCAAAAAGAUGGCUUUCAUACUAAGCAUAAGAAGGAACUUCACUGUAAUUAUGAUAUUCUAACCAAGAAUAUAUGCAUAUCUAGGCAAUAACCAAAGUGAAUAGAAUAAAAUUUAAUUCCUGAUAGAUUAAAUAGGCAAUAGCAAGGAAUGCUAACGCUCCUCAUAGCGUUCUUGUUGGAAGAAUCAUCUAGGAGGCAUUGGGAUUUCUGGUGCUUUUUAAGCAAUGAGAGAUAUCAGUCCACUGAAUGAGGAAGAGAAUAACGUUUAGUUUCGGACUAAAAGUUCAUCUGGACUACGGAAAACACGUUUGCCUCAAUCAGUGAAGAAGGUAUGCUGAGAGCUGAAAGAAAAGGAAAGCAGCAACAGUGAGAGCUCAGAAAUUCCCAGACUGUUUUGAUGAUAAGGUCCAAGAACUUGCCAUGUGAUCCAUCACUACUAGACUCCCACAACUGCAUUAGAUUUGUUCAGGAUUUUCAUAUAAUUUUCAUAACUGGCUAAGCAUUGGAAAUGGAUGGGGAGAAGGCCUGAUGAAAAUUACUGAGGAAGCCUCUUAGCCUAUGUGCUCUGAGAGUAGUGACACCUAGCAGUCGUUAAGACCACUUAAAUUAUCCUAAGACAAUGGAUGUGAACAGGCACUUUUCAAAAGAAGACAUACAUGCAGCCAACAAUCAAAUGAAAAAAAGCUCUACAUUACUGAUCAUUAGAGAAAUGCAAAUCAAAACCACACAAAAGAUGAUCAAGAGGAGCAUGAAAAAAUCCCCUGAAUCCAUUGGCUUUCUUCCCUAUACUGACAACAGUUUACUUGUGUAAGAGAUGCAUGCCUCGACUCCGGACCCCUUCUUUCAUCUGCAAAAUCAGCAGCACCCUCACAUCAUCUCCUGUAACAAACUCUCUCUGUCUCCUCCAUAUAAGGUCACUGAUGGUUACAUUUAGGGUCCAUGAUAUAAGGCCCUCUCCAGGGUGCCUGAGUUUGUUGUUUCAUCACAGAAUUACACGGAAGAGACUGGAAAGAUAACUCUUCAAAUGUCAAAUCAUUCCCCUAUAAAAAAUUUUGCCACAGCUGUUGAAAUAUGGCCUUAGGGUUUAUGACAGAAUUUGAACCAGCCCCAUGGAAAAUGCAUCUUGACUCUGCUUUUAUUCCUUUCCCUGCUGAGCUCCUAAUAGAAGAUGGAUGUCUAUUGCUUUUCUCUUGAUAUUCAUGGCACUGCUCCUCUCCAUCCAUAGGAUUAUCUUAUAGAUGAGGGUCUCAUCCUUUUGCCCAGGCUGGAGUACAGUGGUGUGUAUGUAGCACACUGCAGCCUUCAACUCCUGAUCCUCCAACCUCAGCCUCCACAGUUGCUGGGAUUACAAGUUCAAGUUGGUGUGUAUCUGCAAAGGCGAUGGAAAGGAGUUCUUACAUAUGCAUAUUCUGAAGAAGGAUGUUACCCUUACUGAAAAACUUAUUCCAAGAUAUGUUUAAUCAAUCAUGAGAAAAAUAAAGAGACAUCCUUAUGAAUGGAGAAUAAAGUCCUCAGGGUUUUUUUCUAAUUCCCCAUGUGAAUGAAGAGCUGUGUUAUUCUAAAUAUAGUGUUUGUCAUAAGGCAAUUGUGUUGGUUUGAGUCCUUAGUCGCUGUGACACUGAUAGAAUUCCUAUCUCCAAUUGGAAGGUAAGUUGACCUUGCCUCACUUUUGGGCAUUUACAAAGUAAAAGUGUCUUCAUAUUCCAGGUUACAAUCCUCAUAGAGAUGCAGGAAGAGUCCAAAACUACCAAGGCAGACAGAAAUGCACCAUUGAGCUCUGCUGUUGAAAGCAUCUGAUGGUGGCCCAUUCUGAUGAGACAUUGGACUUCCCUAGUAGGAAAGUUUGGUUUGGGGACUCCUGUCUUUCUGGCUCAGAUUUUCUUAGAGCUGCACUGCAGUCUGAGACUCUACCUGCCCCACUCUCUUUCUUUCCCUUUCUUGUCAACAACAUCAGUUCUGCAUUGCAGUCUGAAGGAUUUCUCUGCCUGAUCCUGCUUUCUCCUCUUUAUUCUUUGCAGUUGUUUCUAACUGCAGAAUCUCUUGAAAGUCUACUCCCAUCUGGCCGGGCGUGGUGGCUCAUGCCUGUAAUCCUCGCACUAUGGGAGGCCGAGGCGGGCAGAUCACGAGGUCAGGAGAUAGAGACGAUCCUGGCUAACACAGUGAAUCCCCGUCUCUACUAAAAAAAAAAAUACAAAAAAAAAAAAAAUUAGCCGGGCGUGGUGGCGGGCACCUGUAGUCCCAGCUACCUGGGAGGCUGAGGCAGGAGAAUGGCGUGAACCCGGGAGGCCGAGCUUGCAGUGAGCCGAGAUCACGCCACUGCACUCCAGCCUGGGUGACAGAGCGAGACUCCAUCAAAAAAAAAAAAAAAAAAAAAAAAGUAAGUCUACUCCCAUCUUGCUGUCUGCUUUUCAGAUGACCUAAAUAAAUACUUUAAAAAAUAUAAUUGGUGAAACCCCGUCUCUACUAAAAAUACAAAAAUUAGCUGGACGUGGUGGUGGGUGCCUGUAACCCCAGCUACUAGGGAGGCCGAGGCAGGAGAAUCGCUUGAACCUGGGAGGUGGAGGUUGCAGUGAGCCGAGAUCACGCCACUUCACUCCAGCCUAGGCAAUAGAGUGAGACUUUGUCUCAAAAAAAAAAAAAAAUAAAUUGUUUUGAAGAUGGUGAAUAUGGGAUUAUCACCUCACCUGAGAAUAGGAGUGAGAGAAAUUGAAUAAAUAUAGAGAAGUGAAGUUAUUUCAAUAAGAAUUUUUAAAUUUAAAGUCAUGUAGAUUCUGAGAUGAGAUCAUAUUAGAAGACAAGUUAGAAAUGGACUACUUAGCUUUAAGAAAGAGUUAACAUCUAGGUACAUAUCAAUAAUGGCUAAAUCUAUGAGCAUUCUCCUUGAAUGAUGAAACUCCAUCUUUGUUUCAGUCAUGGAAUUGCGCUGUUGAACUUUUUGUGUCCUGUCUAGGGCAAGUCUUAACUGCAUCAGCCCUCAUUACAGGUUAAAUACACCCAAAGUCCCUAAUCAACAUUCACUGCAUGUGUUUGUAAGUAAAAGCAUUUGCGUUUCAAUUAUGGAAGAGUCUUUACUGUAAUAUGGAGACUAUCUGAGCUUACUUUUGUUAUUUCUGUAAAAGUAAGUUACCAGCCCACAUUUAUCUAUUAACUUUUUGCAAUAAUUGUAGUAUAAUUUGUGAGCUUAUUAAGAAUGUGAUUGUUUUUUAAAUAUUUGGAAACAUUCUUUCUACAAAAUACUAAUAGCUCAGAUGGGAAAUAUUUUGAAUAAUUGUAUGUUUUAAGUAUAGUCAAUAAAUCAAAUAAAUUUCAAUUCAUAACAUUUUUCAUUAGAUGACAAUGUUAUAUAAACUUAAUAUAGUUUCAGUGAUAGGUUAUAUUUGUUUUUUCUUCCUAUUCCCUUAGUUCAUCUUGAAGCUCAUUCUGGGUGUGUAACUGAUUCCAAAGGCAAUUUCCCUUCAUCCUCAGUUUUAGGAACUCCCAGGAACCAAAGCUUAAAUAUCUAUUUUCUUAGGAAGGCUACAUUUAUAUAAAUGUAUUAAGCCUGAUCCCUCUCUGAGAGCAAAUAUAAUUACAUUUGUUUUUCCCAGUUUGUAAUAAAACUUUAAAUAAAGAUCUCUAGAUAAAGGACUUUUACCCCCCUGGUUAAAAUCUGCUUUCUUGUUUACUUAACAUUUGGUGGUGAUGCAAUGUAUAAGGUAUCGGCCAAGGAAUGACUCUGUCUUUUCCUGUUGUUUUCUUCUACAGGUUGUGUUUCACAUGGAUGUGGGUAUGGUAUGCCACAGCAAUAUGACAUCUUGAUUAUGUGUAUCUGUCAAGACUGUUUUAAAGAACAUUCUCACCUCAGAUUUCUUAGGUCAUAACAUUAUAUUCUUGGUAUUCACAGCCUAAACUGUCAUGCAGAUGGAAUACACUUUGCUUUCUUGGUGAUCUGUGGUAUAGAGAAUGAGUUCCAGUUACCAUGGGAAAUGUAUUUGUUUGUUGGCUUGUUUCUUGUCUUAAUAGUGGUUUGUAUUAAAAGUAAAAUCAGAAAAAUAUCUAAAAAAUCUAUUGAGAUGGUGGCGAACAUUACGAAUCUUAACCUUCUUAUAGAAUACCCAAAGAACAGAUCUAAAGAAUUUCAAUAAUGACCAUAGGUUAUGUCAAAUAGUACAUUAGCUAUAUAUAUAUAUAUAUAUAUAUCUGUAAUAAAUAAUAUUUUGAUUAAUUUUCCACCAGAUAUAUACAUAUGUAAUUUUCCUGCUAAUAUAUAUUUGUACCAAAUCUGUACAUUUGAACUUUCCCUUCCAAACGUUUUUUUAUUUGGGUAUAGUUAUUAGCAGUCAUCUGUAGCAGGUCAGAGUGCUGGAAGAGAGGCUGGUAGACAUCAAAAUAAAUGACUUCCGUGCCACAUCUGAGAUGCCCUAGAGGCCGAGAUCAUGAUUCCCUUUGUCAAAUAAACUAAAAGUUCUAGAAUUUUCAGACUCCUGUUAGUUUCUGCUACCACUUAAGUGUUAAUAGCUAAUAAUAGAGCAAGCUUGAUUACUACCUUGGUGUCCUAAAACGGAUGUUGGCCUGCCAGGUAAUGUCCCUCCAUUUGCAUCUUGUUUUUUCUAUCUAUGUAGCCAUGGAGAACACGUGCCACAAUUUACAGGGGAUGGUCAUCUUAUCUGUAAAAUAAAGUGUUCCCGUCAGAUGAUCCCCAGUAUGCUGAGUUGUGUUUCUCUGAGGCACCCACCACCACGCUGGGCUAAUUUUUGUAUUUUUAGUAGAGACGAGAUUUUACUGUGUUGGCCAGGCUGCUCUCAAACUCCCUACCUCAGGUGAUCUGCCCACCUUGGCCUCCCAAAGUGCUAGGAUUACAGACAUGAGACACUGUGCCUGGCCGAGCUGCUGAUUUUUAUUCAAGAGUCUAUAGUUGUUUUUCCUUUUUUUCUUAUUUUCUACUUAACUUCCAGGAGGCAUGAGUGUGGACUGAAUGGAACACUAAGAUUUCUUCCAGUUCUAUGAUUUUAUGAAUUAUUACUUGAUAACUCUAUAUAUUGGCAAUGACAUAGAUGAGAAGUUUUCCUGAUUUCUAUUCCACUUCUUUUUUUUUUUUGCUUCUCUUUCUCCUAGGAAAACAAUAUUUUUUUCCCCAGAUUACCAUAUCUUACUGUAGUAAAGAAUAAUUAAAAUAUUCAAAAGCAAAGCGUCACUGGCUGCCAAGGCUCUUAAAAAUGCUCAAACAUAUUUUAGGUCUGUAAAGAUUAUCUUUUCUCAUUCUUCAUACAACACUAAAAUAUUAAUCCUGACCAUAGUGUGACUAUAUUAGUAUUAGUAUGAGUACUUUUAGAUGCUUAGUAAUUAGUUCUGCAAAAGAUUGAUAAAAGACACUAUCAUAUCUAUGAGAAUUCGAGAAUCAUAACUUGUCUUCCUGUUUUAAAUGCAUGCUUAGAUAACUAAAAAUAAUUUUAAACUGUUAUCAGUCUCAUUAUUUUUAGUGAAAAAUACACCUUUCUCCAGAUACAUAUUCCUUUAUCUGGGAAAUAUAGAUGGAAUCAGUGAUAUACCUGUUGCUGAGCACAUUAUUAUAUCAUUAAUGCUUAUAUAUUUCAAAUUAUAUGCAUAUUCUCUCCAGAGUGAUUAGAUCCCUUCUACAGUUAGGGUAAUGAAGGCUUUAUUUGCCUGAGGGGACACAGGGAACCAUUUAGGAGAGUGAGGCAAUUAAGCAAUUAUAUAACAUUUUGAAAACAUUCAAUACUUCCCACCAUUUGAUUUGUACUUCUGGAGAACUGCUUUUCUCAUACUAGCUGGUUAGAAUAGUAAAAAUCCUCACACCCUCCCCUCCCAUCUGUCAUUUUUUUUGGUCAUGAAAUUAUACCUCAUUUUACAAAAUGCAUUUUUCUGAGAAACUAAUGCUUACAUUGAAUUUUGCAAGUUUAAUAAUUAAGGAUUGGAAUGUUUUAUUUAAAAUAAUUAAGAUUAUUUUUUAAAAGUAUCACGUGUGAAAGUAAUUAUCACCCCCAAAUUGUAUUUUGCAAAUUGUGCCUAUUUUAUCACUACUAUACAUUUAGGACGAAAAGAAAAAAAGUUGGGGGUGGAUAAUCUAUCAUAAUACAAAAAGAAAAACUCUUGAGUCAGUGUUACUUUUCAUUGGGGAAAAGGCAGGUGGGAAAAAUAGAUAAAUACAAGUUAGAGUUAAUCCUAAAAUCUCAUUACAGCUUAAAAUAUCAAUCUCUAGAAAUACAAAACAUUUGCCAAAAUAAUUGUUAAUAUGUGCAACACUACCCAAAUUAAAAAAUGCAAUUCUCCCUUCUGCUAGUCCUCCUUCUGUACCAAUAUAAUUAGCAAUAAAAUUGAAGGCAACAAAAAUAAGAAAAGACAUAAUGAUCCUGGAAAAUCUACAAAAUGGAUUAUCAUUUUCUAACAAUUGUUAAUACACUGUGUUUUUUAUGUGGUGGUGUGAUAACAUUUUUUUCUUGCUUUCUUGUAAGUUAGGUACUGUGCUAUAUUUAUCUUUGACAGGGCACCUAGCAUCUGAUAGAAAUUCUAAACAGCAAAUGGUAGUAUGAUAUUUUUAUUAUCUAUGCCUCUUAAAACUCUGGCCAAUAGCAAGUAACACCAUUUCCACCUCCCAGAGGAGAAAGAUAAACACAAAAGGAGCUUAAGUGGAUAAAUCACAUAGCAUGGACACAGAAUCUUUUCUAAAUAAAUAACCUAUUAAAAUAGAAGUUGGCAGUCUUAUAAAAAGAAAAUAAAAGUUCUGAUGAGGAAACCUGGGUUGUUUCUCAGCUCUAACUACAAAAAUAAACAUCCUUGAGAAAUUGCUGAACCUCCUUGUUCUUGCUUAAUGUAAAAUGAGAGGGCAAGAUUAAAUGAUCUCAAAGCUCCCUUUCAGUUCAGGGACUGUGAAAUAAUAUGGUAAAUAGGCUUACUUAGGACCUUCUCGGGCACUAGCACUUUAAGAGUUUUACGUGGAUUGUAUAAUCAUCAAAAUAAUCCUGCAUAAUAGACACCAUUGUUAGUUGCAUUUUAUGAAGAAAGUGAGGCUUAACCAUUGAAGUAUUUUACACAAUGUCAUGUGUUUAGGGAGCAGCCAAGGUGAAGUUUUCAACCAGGCCGACCAACUUCAGAGUCCACUGGCUUCAAAACAGUGCUUUACAUCCUCCUUCCAACAUUAUUCACAAGCCGAUCAAGACUGAGAGAGUCACAAGUGUGUGAAACCUGUAUUCUUUCUGACUUCAUUUUCCCUGGUCGAAAUUUUUGUAGAAUAGACAAAUCAAGAAUGAUGACUUCUUAAGAUGCAGUAUUCAAGUUCAGAAAUCUAUACUCAGAUGACCUUAUGUAGGUCAUCUGCUUCUGAGGUUUAUCUCACCAGUGAGAGUUGAAAACAUAUCCUCUACUUAUAUUAAACUAGGAUGCAUAAGAGGGUUGAUAAAAUGGAAUUCAAGUGAACA
rnacentral:lncRNA from 1 species